UACGUAGGGUGCGAGCGUUAAUCGGAAUUACUGGGCGUAAAGCGUGCGUAGGCGGUUGGCAAAGUCAGCUGUGAAAGCCCCGGGCUUAACCUGGGAAUGGCGGUUGAAACUAGUCGACUCGAAUCUGGCAGAGGGGGGUGGAAUUCCUGGUGUAGCAGUGAAAUGCGUAGAUAUCAGGAGGAACAUCGAUGGCGAAGGCAGCCCCCUGGGCCUGUACUGACGCUCAUGCACGAAAGCGUGGGGAGCAAACAGG
rnacentral:rRNA from 1 species